ACCAGACUCCUACGGGAGGCAGCAGUGGGGGAUAUUGCACAAUGGGGGGAACCCUGAUGCAGCGACGCCGCGUGGGUGAAGAAGCGCCUCGGCGCGUAAAGCCCUGUCAGCAGGGAAGAAAAUGACGGUACCUGAAGAAGAAGCCCCGGCUAACUACGUGCCAGCAGCCGCGGUAAUACGUAGGGGGCAAGCGUUAUCCGGAUUUACUGGGUGUAAAGGGGGCGCAGACGGCGAUGCAAGCCAGGAGUGAAAGCCCGGGGCCCAACCCCGGGACUGCUCUUGGAACUGCGUGGCUGGAGUGCAGGAGGGGCAGGCGGAAUUCCUGGUGUAGCGGUGAAAUGCGUAGAUAUCAGGAGGAACACCGGCGGCGAAGGCGGCCUGCUGGACCGUGACUGACGUUGAGGCUCGAGAGCGUGGGGAGCAAACAGGAUUAGAUACCCUUGUACCC
rnacentral:rRNA from 1 species